ncrna:unclassified sequences L19-Flavobacteria ribosomal protein leader
CAACCUCUGGCAAGAGAUGUUAACGUUG